AUGCACCACCGGCAGAGUGUGCAAUCUUAUGAAAUCACUAUGGGACACAGUUCCAAUAAAGAAAAGUUACACUUCGAUCUUAGCGUCGUUAGCGGAGACAAGGAUGUUUCCGGCCGCCAUGCGCGCAUCUUCUAUAAUUUCAACACCACUGGUAGGUCAGCAGCUGCGACCCACCCAAAAAUCCCGUCAGUUCAACGCAGUUAUGGUCGAUUGAGAGCGAGCGACGGCCGGACUAAGGGCAGCAGCGGCAACUCUCAUAUUUCAGUUCUACUCUUCCAUCUUGUGUUGGCUCUGGUGUACGACUACAUGCGGUGGCGGCCUGUACAAGGGUCUGUCGAUAAUAGCUGA
rnacentral:rRNA from 1 species